rnacentral:rRNA from 1 species
GGCUCAGGAUGAACGCUGGCGGUAUGCUUAACACAUGCAAGUCGAACGGGAAUCUUAGGAUUCUAGUGGCGGACGGGUGAGUAACGCGUGAGAAUUUGGCUUCAGGUCGGGGACAACAGGUUGGAAACGACUGCUAAUACCGGAUAUGCCGGAAGGUGAAAGAUUUAUUGCCUGAAGAUAAGCUCGCGUCUGAUCAGCUAGUUGGUGGGGUAAGAGCCUACCAAGGCGACGAUCAGUAGCUGGUCUGAGAGGAUGAUCAGCCACACUGGGACUGAGACACGGCCCAGACUCCUACGGGAGGCAGCAGUGGGGAAUUUUCCGCAAUGGGCGAAAGCCUGACGGAGCAAUACCGCGUGAGGGAGGAAGGCUCUUGGGUCGUAAACCUCUUUUCUCAGGGAAGAAAAAAAUGACGGUACCUGAGGAAUAAGCAUCGGCUAACUCCGUGCCAGCAGCCGCGGUAAUACGGAGGAUGCAAGCGUUAUCCGGAAUGAUUGGGCGUAAAGGGUCUGUAGGUGGUGCUGUAAGUCUGCUGUUAAAGAGUCACGCUCAACGUGAUAAAAGCGGUGGAAACUACAGGACUAGAGUGCGGUCGGGGCAGAAGGAAUUCCUGGUGUAGCGGUGAAAUGCGUAGAUAUCAGGAAGAACACCGGUGGCGAAAGCGUUCUGUUAGUCCGCAACUGACACUGAGGGACGAAAGCUAGGGGAGCGAAUGGGAUUAGAUACCCCAGUAGUCCUAGCCGUAAACGAUGGAUACUAGGCGUGGCUUGUAUCGACCCGAGCCGUGCCGGAGCUAACGCGUUAAGUAUCCCGCCUGGGGAGUACGCACGC